AUUGUGUGAUGAAACCCCACUUCCUGAGCAUGCUGUAGUUGGUCCUUGGUAUGUGUUUGAUGGAUGUUCACGUUUCAAGACGGGACUGAUGAUGGC